rnacentral:rRNA from 1 species
CAUACGGGUUGAAGCAUGACCGUAAGGACAUGUGGACAGUAUGGGAGUGAGAAUGUUGGCAUGAGUAGCGAGAUGUGGGUGAGAAUCCCACAGGCCGUAAACCCAAGGUUUCCAGGGGAAGGUUCGUCCGCCCUGGGUUAGUCGGGACCUAAGCUGAGGCCGAAAGGCGUAGGUGAUGGACAACAGGUUGAUAUUCCUGUACUACCGAUAACCGUUUGAGAGAAGGGAUGACACAGUAGGAUAAGCUAAGCACACUGUUGGUUAUGUGUGCCCAAGCAUUGAGGCAGUCAAAG